rnacentral:rRNA from 1 species
UACGAAGGGUGCAAGCGUCACUCGGAAUUACUGGGCGUAAAGCGUGCGUAGGUGGUUUGUUAAGUCUGAUGUGAAAGCCCUGGGCUCAACCUGGGAAUUGCAUUGGAUACUGGCAGGCUAGAGUGCGGUAGAGGAUGGCGGAAUUCCCGGUGUAGCAGUGAAAUGCGUAGAGAUCGGGAGGAACAUCUGUGGCGAAGGCGGCCAUCUGGACCAGCACUGACACUGAGGCACGAAAGCGUGGGGAGCAAACAGG